rnacentral:rRNA from 1 species
ACGAACGCUGGCGGCGUGCCUAAUACAUGCAAGUUGAGCGCUGAAGGUUGGUACUUGUACCGACUGGAUGAGCAGCGAACGGGUGAGUAACGCGUGGGGAAUCUGCCUUUGAGCGGGGGACAACAUUUGGAAACGAAUGCUAAUACCGCAUAAAAACUUUAAACACAAGUUUUAAGUUUGAAAGAUGCAAUUGCAUCACUCAAAGAUGAUCCCGCGUUGUAUUAGCUAGUUGGUGAGGUAAAGGCUCACCAAGGCGAUGAUACAUAGCCGACCUGAGAGGGUGAUCGGCCACAUUGGGACUGAGACACGGCCCAAACUCCUACGGGAGGCAGCAGUAGGGAAUCUUCGGCAAUGGACGAAAGUCUGACCGAGCAACGCCGCGUGAGUGAAGAAGGUUUUCGGAUCGUAAAACUCUGUUGGCAGAGAAGAACGUUGGUGAGAGUGGAAAGCUCAUCAAGUGACGGUAACUACCCAGAAAGGGACGGCUAACUACGUG